rnacentral:rRNA from 1 species
GACGAACGCUGGCGGCGUGCUUAACACAUGCAAGUCGAACGGAAAGGCCCUGCUUUUGUGGGGUGCUCGAGUGGCGAACGGGUGAGUAACACGUGAGUAACCUGCCCUUGACUUUGGGAUAACUUCAGGAAACUGGGGCUAAUACCGGAUAGGAGCUCCUGCUGCAUGGUGGGGGUUGGAAAGUUUCGGCGGUUGGGGAUGGACUCGCGGGUUAUCAGCUUGUUGGUGGGGUAGUGGCUUACCAAGGCUUUGACGGGUAGCCGGCCUGAGCGGGUGACCGGCCACAUUGGGACUGAGAGACGGCCCAGAAUCCUACGGGAGGCAGCAGUGGGGAAUAUUGCACAAUGGGCGGAAGCCUGAUGCAGCAGCGCCGCGUGCGGGAUAACGGCCUUCGGGUUGUAAACCGCUUUCGCCUGUGACGAAGCGUGAGUGACGGUAAUGGGUAAAGAAGCACCGGCUAACUACGUG